GUAGCAAACAGGAUUAGAUACCCUGGUAGUUCACGCUGUAAACGAUGAGUGCUAGUGUUAGGGGUUUCGAUGCCCUAGUGCCGUAGCUAACGCAAUAAGCACUCCGCCUUGGGGAGUACGGCCGCAAGGCUGAAACUCAAAGGAAUUGACGGGGGCCCGCACAAGCAGUGGAGCAUGUGGUUUAAUUCGAAGCAACGCGAAGAACCUUACCAAGGCUUGACAUCCCAUUGACCGGUAUAGAGAUAUACCUUUUCUUCGGAACAAUGGUGACAGGUGGUGCAUGGUUGUCGUCAGCUCGUGUCGUGAGAUGUUGGGUUAAGUCCCGCAACGAGCGCAACCCUUGAUCUUAGUUGCCAUCAUUAAGUUGGGCACUCUAAGGUGACUGCCGGUGACAAACCGGAGGAAGGUGGGGAUGACGUCAAAUCAUCAUGCCCCUUAUGUCUUGGGCUACACACGUGCUACAAUGGCUGGUACAGAGGGUAGCAAAGCCGCGAGGUGGAGCCAAUCCCAAAAAGCCAGUCUCAGUUCGGAUUGUAGGCUGCAACUCGCCUACAUGAAGCAGGAAUUGCUAGUAAUCGCGGAUCGGCAUGCCGCGGUGAAUACGUUCCCGGGCCUUGUACACACCGCCCGUCACACCACGAAAGUUUGCAACACCCAAAGUCGGUGAGGUAACCAUUUAUGGAGCCAGCCGCCCAAGGUGGGGUAGAUAAUUGGGGUGAAGUCGUAACAAGGUAGCCGUAA
rnacentral:rRNA from 1 species